AGAGUUUGAUCCUGGCUCAGGAUGAACGCUGGCGGCGUGCCUAACACAUGCAAGUCGAGCGAACCCUUCGGGGUGAGCGGCGGACGGGUGAGUAACGCGUGGGUAACCUGCCCUAUACACACGGAUAACGUACCGAAAGGUACGCUAAUACGAGAUAAUAUAUUUUUAUCGCAUGGUAGAAAUAUCAAAGCUCCGGCGGUAUAGGAUGGACCCGCGUCUGAUUAGCUAGUUGGUAAGGUAAUGGCUUACCAAGGCGACGAUCAGUAGCCGACCUGAGAGGGUGAUCGGCCACAUUGGAACUGAGACACGGUCCAAACUCCUACGGGAGGCAGCAGUGGGGAAUAUUGCACAAUGGGCGAAAGCCUGAUGCAGCAACGCCGCGUGAGCGAUGAAGGCCUUCGGGUCGUAAAGCUCUGUCCUCAAGGAAGAUAAUGACGGUACUUGAGGAGGAAGCCCCGGCUAACUACGUGCCAGCAGCCGCGGUAAUACGUAGGGGGCUAGCGUUAUCCGGAAUUACUGGGCGUAAAGGGUGCGUAGGUGGUUUCUUAAGUCAGAGGUGAAAGGCUACGGCUCAACCGUAGUAAGCCUUUGAAACUGAGAAACUUGAGUGCAGGAGAGGAGAGUGGAAUUCCCAGUGUAGCGGUGAAAUGCGUAGAGAUUGGGAGGAACACCAGUGGCGAAGGCGGCCUACUGGGCUUUAACUGACGCUGAGGCUCGAAAGCGUGGGUAGCAAACAGGAUUAGGUACCCUGGUAGUCCAUGCUGUAAACGAUGAUUACUAGGUGUGGGCCGAAAGGUCCGUGCCGCAGUUAACACAAUAAGUAAUCCACCUGGGGAGUACGGCCGCAAGGCUGAAACUCAAAGGAAUUGACGGGGGCCCGCACAAGCAGUGGAGUAUGUGGUUUAAUUCGAAGCAACGCGAAGAACCUUACCAGGUCUUGACAUCGAGUGAAUAACUAAGAGAUUAGUUAGUCCUUCGGGACACGAAGACAGGUGGUGCAUGGUUGUCGUCAGCUCGUGUCGUGAGAUGUUGGGUUAAGUCCCGCAACGAGCGCAACCCUUAUCAUUAGUUGCUACGCAAGAGCACUCUAGUGAGACUGCCGUUGACAAAACGGAGGAAGGUGGGGAUGACGUCAAAUCAUCAUGCCCCUUAUGACCUGGGCUACACACGUACUACAAUGGCAAUAAACAGAGGGCGGCAAUACAGCGAUGUAAAGCGAAACCCUAAAAAUUGUCUCAGUUCGGAUUGCAGGCUGCAACUCGCCUGCAUGAAGUCGGAAUUGCUAGUAAUCGCAGAUCAGCAUGCUGCGGUGAAUACGUUCCCGGGCCUUGCACACACCGCCCGUCA
rnacentral:rRNA from 1 species